GCUCUAUUAGUGUAGUGGUCUAGCACGUGAGAUUUUGAUUACAUCCUAUCUUCUCGGAUAGCGAUUGCAUCUCAAUCUUCUCAAGUCCCAGGUUCGAACCCUGGAUGGAGCU
rnacentral:tRNA from 1 species